CUCACACAACUCCUUUAUCACUCUUUCUCUUUCUCAGCUCUUCUCCACAACGUCGAUGGAAUCGCCUUCUAGUUUCUUCCAACAUGGCGGUAAAAAUGGAUUGAGUUAGUCCUUUUCUGGAUUGUUCCCAACUGCUUGAAGAAGAAGGUUCAAGAAAUGGGCUGCAUUUUAUAUUUUUCUCUGGAAGUUUCUUUAAGUUCCGUGCUGUAUCUUCAAAUAUUACUCCUUUCCACAUAAGCCGUUUUGAAGGUUUCUCAAGACUUAGGAGUUGAAAUAGUUGCCGCCAGAAGGAAUUGCUGCCUGAAUUUCUAGCACGACAUUGUGUCCAACAUAGCAAAAGCCACAUCACCCAAUGCCUUGAAAAGUUAAAUCUGGUUGUAGUCAAGGCUCCUGGGCCAUGAUUCCUAUUUGCCGGAGCUAAGAUCAAGAUAAAA
rnacentral:lncRNA from 1 species